AGUGAACGCUGGCGGUAGGCCUAACACAUGCAAGUCGAACGGCAGCACAGUAAGAGCUUGCUCUUACGGGUGGCGAGUGGCGGACGGGUGAGGAAUACAUCGGAAUCUACUUUUUCGUGGGGGAUAACGUAGGGAAACUUACGCUAAUACCGCAUACGACCUACGGGUGAAAGCAGGGGAUCUUCGGACCUUGCGCGAUUGAAUGAGCCGAUGUCGGAUUAGCUAGUUGGCGGGGUAAAGGCCCACCAAGGCGACGAUCCGUAGCUGGUCUGAGAGGAUGAUCAGCCGCACUGGAACUGAGACAGGGUCCAGAGUCCUACGGGAGGCAGCAGUGGGGAAUAUUGGACAAUGGGCGCAAGCAUGGUCCAGCCAUACCGCGUGGGUGAAGAAGGCCUUCGGGUUGUAAAGCCCUUUUGUUGGGAAAGAAAAGCAGCAGGUUAAUACCCCGCUGUUCUGACGGUACCCAAAGAAUAAGCACCGGCUAACUUCGUG
rnacentral:rRNA from 1 species